GAUGAAGAACGUAGCGAAAUGCGAUAAGUAAUGUGAAUUGCAGAAUUCAGUGAAUCAUCGAAUCUUUGAACGCACAUUGCGCCCGCCAGUAUUCUGGCGGGCAUGCCUGUUCGAGCGUCAUUUCCACCAUCAGGCCCCCGGGCCUGUGUUGGGGACCUGCGGCUGCCCGCAGGCCCCGAAAUUCAGUGGCGGUCGCGCCGUAGCAACCGAGCGUAGUAACUAAAACGUCUCGCUCUGGCUCGCUGGGCGCGCUCCGGCCGUAAAACACCCCCCCUUUUCGCAAAGGUUGACCUCGGAUCAGGUAGGAAUACCCGCUGAACUUAAGCAUAUCAAUAAGCGGAGGA
rnacentral:misc_RNA from 1 species